UUCAUUGGGUGGUAUAGUAUUUGUUUUGUUUCGAGUAAGGAUUGAGAAAAUGUACACAAAGUUCAAAAUGGGUGAAAACAAAUUACUAGCAAUAAAUAUGAGAAGUAAAAGUGGGGGUUAAUAUUACAAGACUCACUGCAUGCACAUGACUUGGAUCUUGUGAAACUUUCUUUCCCAUUUCAUAAACAUCAGAUCCAAUGCCUACCUAUAGGCUAUAGAAUGUUGAACCUUUCCCACUCACACAAGUU